GAUGAAGAACGUAGCGAAAUGCGAUAAGUAAUGUGAAUUGCAGAAUUCAGUGAAUCAUCGAAUCUUUGAACGCACCUUGCGCCCUUUGGCCAUUCCGAAGGGCAUGCCUGUUUGAGUAUCAUGAACACCUCAACUCUUCAUGGUUUUCCAUGAUGAGCUUGGACUUUGGGGGUCUUGCUGGCCUGUGGGUCGGCUCCUCAAAUGAAUCAGCUUGCCGGUUUUUGGUGGGCAUCACAGGUGUGAUAACUAUCUACGCUUGUGGUUUUCCACCAGGGUAACCUUCAGCAGUGGAGGUUCACUGGAGCUUACAAAUGUCUCUCCUCUGUGAGGACAGCCCUUUGAAUGUUUGAUCUCAAAUCAGGUGGGGCUACCCGCUGAACUUAAGCAUAUCAAUAAGCGGAGGA
rnacentral:misc_RNA from 1 species